UCAAACUUAGGGUACAUCGUUGAUGAAGGGCUAGGGCGGAUGCCGGGAUGUCUUGGGGUUGGGGUUGGGGUCGCGACGCUUCCACUCUGCCCAUUGAUCGGAGCUCCAGGUGCUUCUCUCUCUCCCCUCCCGCAAGGUAAGUUCGUUUAGAUAGGCAAUAAGACAAAAGCGAAGCUGCUUGCAACGAGCUAAGAGGUUCGCGAUUGCAACGCAAAAGGGAGCCAGUGACACAACAAACAACUCAAACAAGUGAAACAACGGAUGGACAACGCUCUGUGAAUACAAACAAAACUAGAUCAACGACACUUAGUUUCAUGUUGCCAGGUUCGCGUGUGUUUCGAUUUGUUCUAAUUUCUUGUCAUGAAGAAGCCAAGUGACAUGUUGGUGUUGCUCAACGACGAUAAGAACUGGAAAACGCCAUGUCACAGCGUGUGCCAAGAAGAAAAAUGCUACUAGAUUGGAGAGAUUUUGUGUCAACGUUUUGGAGAGAUUGUCAGUGCUUUGAGUUAUGUUGUUACUGCGCUCAAGGCAAGACCUGUGAGCUGAGAAACAACUUUUUGGCACCUGCGAUCUUCAGAACUUCAAUCCAGCUGAAGACGUAAAUGACAAUGACAACAGCGAUCAUGAUCCGUAACUCUCGCACCUCUCCACCUCUCAAGGUAAGGGCUUUUCUUUGUGUUAGGAAUAAGCGAGUAAGACAACGAAACAAGAGAGAUUUGCUGGAGACAAGAAAGCGAAGCUGCUUGCAACGAGCUAGGAUCGAAUGAUCAACGAUAAAUGAAAGGCUUGAAUUCGUGUUGAAACUCUCAACGUUUGAAGACAUCAGGUUCGCUCUUUAUUUUCGACGGGUCAAGAAGAUGCUAUGCUCAACGCAAAAGGGAACUAGGGACACAGUCAAGCUAAGAUGAUAUGCUCAUAAAACAGCUCAAACAAGCUAAGUGCAAAACAAGGGUCCAAGGAACCCUCAACGCAAAGGGAAACUUAGCUUCAGGUUUGCAUGUGUUUCAAUUUGUUCUAAUUUCUUGUCAUGAAAAAGACAAUUGACGUGUUGGUGCUGCUCAACCACGAUAAGAACUAAAAAACGCUGUGUUCAAAAAGAAAAAUGCUGCGAGAUUGGAGUGAUUUCUGUCAACGUUUUGGAGAGGCUUUGAGUUAUGUUGUUGCUGUGCUCAACGGAAGACCUGCUGGCUGAGAAACAACGUGAUCUUCAGAACUUCAAUCCAGCUGAAGACGUACAUUGACAAUGGUCCAACCUUAAUGAAAACAACGAUCAUGAAAACUCCCAAGGCAAAGGAAUGUGCAUAGUGUGAAUUUACAAGAAAAGACGCCUGAAUCAACUCAUAUAUUGGUUUGUCUAA